UAAGGUUUUAUCUUAAUUAAAGUGUCUGGGUUGCCUUCAAAUAUGUAAGAUAAAGUCUUGCAAAUCUUA
rnacentral:tRNA from 1 species